GCAGUGGGAUCGAGCUGCCCGGGGUGGGAGGCGGGAUAUUCAGCCUCACUGUGUUGCUGCUUCUGAAGGGCCAGAGCCCCGUGGUAGUGCCUGUGUCUUUCUGGAUAUGGCCAUGUGUGAUGUGCUCCAGACUUGGGAUGAAGGAGGAAGGACCACAGCCAAGUCUUGGUUUCCCAGGCAGGUUCCUGAUGGCCACAAAUUAAGCAGGAGCUCCACUGUUCCCGAGGGUGAAGCCCAGGAAUGGCUGUGGUCUGUAAACCACCGAGGGUUUGGAUAAGGAAGAUGUCAGCCUGACCUUCCUACACGGAAGUGGCAGGAGUUACCUGCAGCCAUGGAGCUUAUGAAACUAAAAAAGAUGGGAAGAGAAAGAAAGAAGACCAUGGAUAGGAAUGGAGAUGGACAAAAAAGGGAGAAAACUCAGGGACUGAGGGCUCUGCAUCAUUCCAGCUCCGAUAACGUGCACGGCCUUCGGAAUUCCUGCCCCCGCUCGUGGAGCCAUUUGUUGGAUACUGCAAAGACACAAAGGGAUGGGAUCACUGCACGUGGGGAGCUCCUGCUGAAGGUAAGUGUGCUGUUGGUUAAGCACAGCAUUACCUUAGUUUCUUAAAGUGUUUUAGUUGUGGAAUCACAGGGUUUGGGUCGGAAGGGACAUUAAAAUCAUCUCCUUCCAACCCCCUGCUAUGCACAAAUGUGAAGUUGGUCUAAUAAAUACAGGAAGGAAAAAACUUCCCUGCAAAACUACAGAAGACUCUUAAAAGAGAUACAGUUGUACAGGUAUUUUAUACAUAUAAUAAAAUAUGCUGCUAUAUAGAAUAUCUGUAAUGUACAGAGAUGAAGUAGAUAAAGUAAAUUAAAUAGACUUCUUUAUAAAGAACUGCAUUUCUGGGUGCUUUUUAUCCCACCAUGAAGUCCAGAGGGAAAAGAGAAGCAAGGCAAGGCCCCCCCAGGCCCAGGCUGGGGUCCCAGGCAGGUACUCACCCCAUUUAUUCCCCACUAGUACCGGGCAGGCCGCGUGCCGGGUGCUGUAAUCGCCUUCUCCGCUCGGGAACAGAUUGUACCAGAACACAGCUGUUCCCUGGGAAUGGCAGGGGACACCCUCAGCACUCUGCUCUGCACAACACACUUAAACACCAACUCA